rnacentral:rRNA from 1 species
UACGUAGGGGGCAAGCGUUGUCCGGAAUCAUUGGGCGUAAAGCGCGCGUAGGCGGCUCGGUAAGUCCGUUGUGAAAGUCAAAGGCUCAACCUUUGAAUGCCGAUGGAUACUGUCGAGCUAGAGUCCGGAAGAGGCGAGUGGAAUUCCUGGUGUAGCGGUGGAAUGCGCAGAUAUCGGAAGGAACACCAGUGGCGAAAGCGGCUUCCUGGUCCAGCACCGACGUUCAGGCACGAAAGCGUGGGGAGCAAACAGG